CCACGCGCUCCUGACCCAGCCUCUCAGGCACCAGGGACUUCCUCUCCCUCCUCCCCUCCCUCGCCCUCCUCCCUUUCCUCCCUCCCCUUCUCCUCACCCUUAGCUCCCCGGGGCGCAGCCCAGAUUGCCCAGGACUCGGGGGACCAUGCCAGGAGGGCUCCAAUAGCACCCUGUCAACCAGGCACUUCCAGGAGUUACCCUGGAGCGGCCUCACCUGUGUUUUCAGGUGAUUGCCAAAACCUGAUGGAGGUCAGAGCUACUCCCCGGGGGGUGUCCCCAGCCACUAGCCCCACCCUCGACCUCCCUCUGUGAACCAAGCCAAGAGAAACCGAAAUCGUGGAGAAAGUUGCUUGGCUACUGCUGCGCAAGGGUGAAGCGGGGUGAAGAGUCCCGCCCUGGAGCAGAGCUGGCCCUGGGGACCCAGCUGAUGAAGCACUCUGGGUUCAAGGUCACAGCCGGCUUGCACUCAGGUGAAAGGCCCCAGGUUUGACCAGAAGUUUCUCCAGCUCCAGCUCCGUGGCACAGCACAUAGGGGGAGCAGAAAAGGUGGAGAGGGAUGGGAAGGCCCUGAAGAGGAGCUGGGUCUGCCUGCCACACAGCACCGGCAUCACCCCAUAGCGCCCACUGUGUAUGUAAACCAGGCAGAGACAGGCCGAACUUCACCUGGGGCUUUCCACGUCCACCUCUUUUUCACCCAAAAAUGGGAACACAGAAUGUCUUGUCCACUGGAGGUGGAGGGAGGGGUAAGUUCCCAAAAAGCAUGUUGCCUUUUUUUUUUUUUUUUGUCUGAAUCACUAUAGUUUCUUCCCCAAAGGUUGUGUUUUUAAAGUCAUCUGGGGGGUUUUACAAAUAAACCACCCUCCGGCCUCA